CCUACGGGAGGCAGCAGUGGGGGAUAUUGCACAAUGGGGGGAACCCUGAUGCAGCGACGCCGCGUGGGUGAAGGAGCGUUUCGGCGCGUAAAGCCCUAUCGGCAGGGAAGAAGGAGGACGGUACCUGACCAAGAAGCCCCGGCUAACUACGUGCCAGCAGCCGCGGUAAUACGUAGGGGGCAAGCGUUAUCCGGAUUUACUGGGUGUAAAGGGGGCGCAGACGGCAGCGCAAGCCAGGAGUGAAAGCCCGGGGCCCAACCCCGGGACUGCUUUUGAAACUGCGCGGCUGGAGUGCAGGAGGGGCAGGCGGAAUUCCUGGUGUAGCGGUGAAAUGCGUAGAUAUCAGGAGGAACACCGGUGGCGAAGGCGGCUUGCUGGACUGCGACUGACGUUGAGGCCCGAAAGCGUGGGGAGCAAACAGGAUUAGAUACCCGUGUAGUC
rnacentral:rRNA from 1 species